UUUUCAGUCACGCCAACAAUUUGACAUCACUUUGAUACCUGAGUUGCAAGGGUGCUGUGAAAAAGAGGGUUGACAGGGUUGCAGCACCAUAUUUAGAGGGUUUACCAUCGAAAAAUAGGUAUCAAAGUGACAGUAAAAGCAUUGUAGUCCAUAAGCAAAGAAGAAGUGAAGGAAUGUUACUUCUAGAAUGGCUAGAAUUAAACUGAGUCAUUGUGUUGUGAUCUGCGUGAGCGGCCUAGGAACUCCAUUGAUGAGAGAAGAAUUCGAAAGGGAAGAAGCGAAAAUGGGAACCAGUAGAAUUGGACGAUCCUUCGUUCUUUGCGGGCGAAAUGGAUGGAUUUAUGUCCCUUGAAGUCAUGGAAGAUUAUCAUCCAGAAGAGCUAGCAGGAAUUGGUGCAGGUGGACCAGCUCAGAAGAAGAAAAUAAAAGAAUGGCCGCUG